rnacentral:lncRNA from 1 species
GAAAGUUCAAUUAAAACCCUGCUUUGUUCAGCCCAAUAAUGGGCUUGACAUUUGCAGACUUCCCCGACAAUACCUGCUAUUGCCAAGCUUACAAAUUGGGAAAGGCUUUUGUGGUAGGCUGAGAAGGCGCUGAACAAAAGGUCUCAAGCAGCAAUGCCUUUUCAUGUUCGAAGGGCCAUGGAGUCAGCCUUGGCUUUAUCACCUCAGCAUCCUCUAAUGGGUGGCACCUCAGACAGUUCCUUCGGCAGAAAAGACUCCAGCUUACAAGUAAUGACCAGUGCCACCGACUUGGUGCAACCUAGAGUCUCCCAGGAUGAGAGUCUUACUCAGAGAUCGUGGAGACCCGCUCGGCUGAGGAUACGUCUGUGGAGAAUUGUCUUCAUUGCCUAAACUGAGGUGAGAAAACCCAUGUUGGGCGGCAGCAUUUCACAGGCUGGGCCCUGAAUUGUACCCCAGGGAGGAAAGGUAGCUGAGCAGGAAGCAUUCAUUCUUCUACUCUCUGUACUCUUAGACGCCAUGGGAGGAGCACGUUACCUGAAAGUCUAAAUCAAAUCAAUCCCUUCUCCCCUAAACUGUCUUUUGCUGGAGUUAUUUUAUCACAGCAACGAAAUGUAACUAGGACAUCACACAACUUCACUUGAAAUGCCAGCCUCUUCAGGAAGAACCUCCCCAGUGACCCAGGAAGGUACCCCCUGCAUUUUCCCCAGGAGACUCCUUUCCAUAUAAAUACGAG